AGGUCUGACCGAGGGGAUGAGUGUCUGAAGCCAGGGGGCUCUGGGCUUCUCCGGCCUCAGGCAAGAAGCGGGGCUGGCUGCGUUCGGGACCCAGCGCCCCCCAGGCCCUCCAAAGACUGGUUGAGCUCAGAACCAGAAGGAGCGAGGGAGCAGAGAAAGCCGGGGGCGGGCUCGGGCGACCUCAAGAAGCCCGGUUCAUACCCCUCCUUCCUGAUGAGACCUGGAGGUCUAAAUUGCUCCUGAGAUGAAUGCUGUGCACAGCUCCUCACCUGCAGAGAUAUUUGACAGGCAGCAUCCCAGCGCCUUCCUCCCCUGCACAAACUCAGGAAGGGAGCGAUGGCAAGAGAGGGAGGCCAGAUGACAGAUACCUCCACCACCGGGCCUCCAGGCUAGCACUUCCCUCCAUAAUAUGGGGGUCCCCAGGGAGAGGAGGACAAAGGACAUGAAGGCAAGAGCUGAAAACUACCAAAGAAGUUUUUGGUGUCCCCAGGAGAAACUACAGAUCUUCACCAAAGAUGAGUGAGGAGACUGUGAAUGGGCAGACACUUCACAUUCACCCAGGGAAGCCUCCAUCCCCUGGUAAAGACACAAGAACAGGGGAGCUGAACCCUUCGCCUCUGGACUUCGGGACCACCCAUUGUAACUAUUCUUCCUCCAUCCCACCUCUUCAGAGCUGUGACUGGCUGGAGGGAGGUGGGCUGCUGGGCUGCCUCCUCUGGGGAUGGAGACAGGGCAGCCUGGCCACAGGCACAGGAGGCAGGACUCAGGAACAGGCUGCUAGAACGCGCAGGUGACAUUCCAGCUGUACCCAGGCCCAGGUCUGGGCCCCAGUUUCCACCUAGAGGUGGUGUGAGCAGUGUGGCAGCUGGCUCUGACCGCCAAGACAUGGUGAGCUGAGGCUGCAGGGCCGUAACCCUGGCAGGCCCCAGCCACACCUGCAGACACAGCCCUCAGAGGCAGAGGCUAACACGGUUAAUUGGUUCCAACCUUCAGCUAAAAGUAGGAGCAUUGAUCAGGCACCCGUGAGGCUCAGAAGCUGUGGCCUCUGAGGAUGCUGUACUUCCGUGUAAGCUCAAACCCAGAAAAGAGAAAUCCGAUCAGAGGUUGUGGUGCUCACUUCCCAGCCGGGCCAGAGUGGGGCAGAGAGGCGGCAGGCUAUAAAUAGUGGAGGAACCGCCACUGAUAAUCCACUGGAGAGAAGGGAUAGGGCACUCUUCCCCCAGGAAGGAAUGGCAGGCCUCUCCAAGGAACAGCGGGACCUGUCAGAGCAGAGGACAGGAGAUGGUGGCCUCAUCCCCACCCACCCAAGGCCCAGUCCCCUUUCCCUGUCUGUGAAGUGCUUGCUUCUGCCCUGACUCCGUGGAGCAUGGGGACUUACAGGGCAGGCAUAGGAUGAGGGGACUUCAAAUAAUGGUCUUGGGAGUUGAGUUCAGGCUCUCAGUGGAGCCAGGGCUUGGCCAGAGUUCAUAUGAUUUCAGUGUAGGAAGCCGACACCGUCUGUGCAUCCCGACACGGAAGCACAAGUCCACUCUCCUGUCACUCAGCCAUCCCUCCAGAAAUGCAUCCAUCCAUCCAUCCAUCCAAAUAUCUAGUCAUUCAGUAAUUCAUUUGACAAAUAAGAAUUGAGUCCCAAUGAUGUGGCAAGCCCUGUGCUAAGUUCCUUGUGACCUCACCUGUAAACGGUGCUGCUUCUCCCCGUCCUUCUUAGGGUGCUUGUAAGAACCCAUCGAGGAAAGAAAUGUGCUUGCAGCCUGGGAAGUAUCACACAUGUAUCGGUGAGUUGGGGCUUUGACAGAGAGAAGCCUUUGGGUGCUUCCAAGAAGGGAACACCCCAGCCCCUAAGAGCUUCCUUUCCCUCCUUUGGUCCUCAAAAUCUCAGCCAAGGAGGCCUUGAUUGGCAUUCAUGGGCUAUGGCUUUUCAGGUCAACUUUGAACUCUUACGCCUUUUUCCUAAUAUGAGGGUCUAGAAUGUAAAUUUUGAGAUCCUUACUGAAGUAUGCUUCCCCCUAAACUUGCUGUGUGCACUUGGGCAGGCCAGGUGACCUCUCUGUGCAACAGUUUCAUCCACUGUAAAAUGGCAGUGACAUGAGUAACUAUCUCUUAGGGCUGUUGUGAUGAUCAGAGAGUCAGUAUAUGUGAAUUGCUUAGCAUAGUGGCUGGCACAGAGUAGGUACUAUCUAAGGGUGAGCUACUUGUGGAGAUGAUGCAAUCUGGCCCUGGGAAAUGGGGGUUCAGGCUCACCUUUUACAAAGGGACCCUAGGGGGUCCUAUGAGGCAAAUGCUUCUGGCUUUAAGAUACGUCAAGCCUUAGUCUCCUCAGAUUUUAAACCAUCUCCAUAAAACAGCUGUCCUAGGAAGGAAUCUUGGGCUUCUCUCAGAGUCUCAGACCAGAAACUCUGUGUCCUAAGACACUGCAGCCUCUUACAGGAAGGCACUGCAGGUCUCACAGGGAGAGGAAGAGUUAUACAGAACCCUGUCUUCCCUCUUCCUACACUCAUGUGGGUAAAAAGCUUAGAUUUUUCUUGCACUUGGAGUAGAACAAGGGGUACAGCUAAAGUGAUGGACUGCUGAGAGUUUCUAGCUGCUGCUGGAUUCCAUAAGUUCCAUCGGAUUAAGGAUGAGCUUAAUGUAUAAUGUAUAAACCCAUGGACAGAGACACUGCCUUGUUUAAGCAAUGGUUUACAUUCAUAACACAAAUAUAAAUGGAUAGUCAUUUCUUUCUUCAGGGCCCAGCACAAUUCAUUAGUAGCUUCUAGCCUUUUGUCCCUUUCAAGCAGAAAACAGACCCAGCUCAGAGAGCAGUGGCUGGGUCUGCUCAGGACCCAGGAGCCCAAAGCACACAGGAUCCCAAACGCUCCAGAGUCCAUAGAGACUUUGUUGUCAAGCACAUCAGAGAUCAUGACUGCUAUAUAUUCUUGGUGCUUCUUUUCAUCCAUUCAGAGUCUCAAAUGUUCUCUCUUCACUUUCCUGCUUCAUUCAACUAUGCUAAGACUGACAGCCUCCUGAGAUACUAACGUGAUAAGACACAAUCCCUGCCCUCAAGGAACUUUAGGGUAAGCCUGUCUCCCUGACCUUGGCUUCCUGAACUUAGCCUUGUUCCAUAUAAACCUUUUUCCUCCUUCCUACUUUCCUCCCACCAUCAUUGCUGGCUGGUACCAGCUGCUUACUUUGUGUUUCUAGUUGCAUUUCCUUAGCCUCUGUCUCCAGCUGAGCACUGGACUGCACACUGCAGAAAACAAAGGGGAAGAAACAAAGGCACUGGCCUGAAGGAGUUCAUGGCCCACUGGGGAGCUUUUUCAGAAAUAUAACCAAAGAAGCCCCUGCCCUGGAGAGCUUUCAGUCCACAGACAGUGCAUCCUAGAUAGAAAGGGGCCCUCUCUUAAAGAGGUCCAACCCUUCUCAUUCAUGUAACUAUGGCACAAAACAGUAGGUGCCAGUAGCACAAACAGUUCAGAGAAAGAUGCUGCAGAGUGCUGUUGCCUUAGCAUCCCUGGGAAAGGUGCAUGGGCUGUAACCAAGCCCCAUUGUUCCACCUGGGUGAUCAUGGCCAUUGCUAGGGGAGAGCAGAUUUACAUGUGGACACAGGUACUUAUGCUCUACCUGCAGCGACCCAAAACUCUCUUGCUGUUCAAACAUGUCCAAGCAGUCCCCCUGGGUCCAAGGCAGAGGGCCCACUCCAAGUGGGAGACCACAAAAUGACCUUAUACAAACACCAGAAAUUAGGUCUUAGACACAUGAAUGGGACAAAGACUAAGUGUCAAAAUCCCAAACUCAGUCAGCAGCCAAUGGGUGAAGCGGGCGGCAGGAGCAGAGGAGAAUGCAUGCGCUUCCUCCAGUGUCAUCUUUUUCCAUCCCUACGACCCACAGAAGGGUGACAUUAUUCCCCUUUUACAGAUGCAAACACUGAGGCCCAGAGAGGUUAUCUUGCGCAAGGCCCUGCAAUUAGUAAGUGGUAGAACCAAGACCCAAGCUUUUUAUUUUUAAAGCUGGGUCUUUUCAACUAUACCAUUCAGACUACAAAAGCAGAGAAAUAUUUUCCACUUUUUUAUUUGUUAUAAAUAUUUCAUUGAUCAACAUUUAGUUCCUCAGGCACCUGUGUAAGGUCCUCCACGUCCCAGGGCAGGAGGCCCGGGGCUCUAACUCAAGGCCGUGACCCACAGACACACAGGAAAGGCAGUCCCCUCCCUCCCUUCCUGGCCACAGCAGGGCUGGUGCUGCGGUGUCAGCGCUCCAAGGUAUCUGUCGAGGCAAUUUCAGCUCCAGUUUGCUCAAACUCCAGACCAAAGGCUCAGUCGCAGACUCUGAUGUGCCGAACAAAACCAGAGACAGGAACUCGUCUCAAUCACUGAGUCAGCUGGCGGGUUGAGGAACCCCACAGCGAGGGACUGCUAACUCUGCCUUCAGCAUGUCUGGGAGCAGAGUCUUUCCCCUGGCUCCAUGAAGGCCUCCUGCGGAUCAUUUCUCACCUGCUGCGGAGCCACCUGCGGUGCUGACUGUCCCCUCCUGAACCCUGUGCCUCUCUAUGCCUGUCUUCAUUACCAGGGUACGAUGUCCUUCUCCAGCUAGGUGGAUUGGUUCCCAAAGACUCCGGAAUGAGGAACAUUUGCAGACAGCAAACUUAAAACCCUACGAGAAGAAUAGGGUGGGGGAAUUGUGGCUGCAGAUGAGCUUAGGAAGGUCCUUGGAUGUAUUUCUUCACAUGCGUCACAACACCACGCAGCCCUAUACCAAAGACAUGGCACAUCCCGAAGUCUUCCUCAAAGGUAAAUGACAAUCAAUUUCCAAUUUCCAUUAUUUGCUCCAGAGAGGUGGUUCAGGAAUUCCCUCGCCCUCAAGUUUAAAUGAGAUAUUAAUGAAUUAUUUUUGCCUUGUUGCAGACAACAUACCUGUUAGGAGGUGUGUGUGUGUGUGUGUGUGUGUGUGUGUGUGUGUGUGUGUGUGUGUGAUUCUCCAUCCAAGUGUUUACUUCCUUUCUCAUUUCAUGACUUUGGGUUAUUGACUCCUGUCCCUCCCCAACCUCUGCCCUCCCCAGUUGGGUGACCUGGGACCAACUCCCCAACCUCCACAUCUGUCUCCUUAUUAGUGAAAUGGAGCUAUGACAGAACCCAUGAUGUAGGGAUGCUCUAAGAUUUAAAUAAAGUAAUCCAGGUAAAAUGCCUAGUCAAUUGUCUGGCACCUAAUAAGCAUUCAGUCAGUGGUAGCCAUUACUUUCUUAUUAAUAAACUCAAAUAUCACAACCUACCAAGUGUCUGACUAUCCUCAGGGCUUGGCCUCUCCCAGACUUCAUCUGUCCCAUGCUGGCACUGUCAGAACUAUGCCCAUGAGGCCGAAUCACCCUGACUAUUUUGAGGCAACCUUGCUCCCACAUUUCCACCAUCUGUUGAAGGUAUUUCCUCUAUUGACCCCCAGGGAGGCCCAAGAGGGCCAAGUCACAGAUGGGAUGGGGAAGAGAAUCUAGAACUGAUCCCUCUUAAAGACAGUGCAGACUAGCAGACGGCUGCAAAACCUGGGUGUUGGGGCCCUGGGAACUUCCAGAAGUGGACCAUCCAUCCCUACUCCUCCCAGAGUUACACACACAUCCCAAGUUGAGACAGCACCUGUGACUGGCCUGGCCACACACUCACCAUUAGGUGGUCAAGACCGGCUCUCUAAAGUGGCUGCCUCAGGCCCUGUGGCUCCCAGUAACCAAAGUCCACAGGAGGGGUGGUGCAGUCUGAUUGAUCCAGGAAGUGAGCAGUGAUGGGAACAAGGGAUCCCCCCAUCUUUCUACGAGGCCUUGGAGCCGACUGGAGCAUGUCACAGAGGGGUGAGCAGGACUUAUUUCAUCAUAUGUUCAAAUGCUUGUGACAGACUUCCAGACACUUCUGUUCCUGCCUCUUCUCCCAAACACACACCCAUCCACAGGAACCCUGUACUCAUGUCCGCCAGAUUCAUGUCUACUCGAAUAAAAACUUCAAUUCAGUGGUUACGUUUGAUGUCCCUGUGCCUUUCAACACAUUUUUACAUAAUCUGACUUUAGAGCCUUUUCUUUAUAAUAUGCUUCCUUUCUAAGAGGAGCCGAUGCCUUUGGUUAAUGGAGUCUAUUCAAAAAAUACCUAUUGAAUACCUGCUAAGGCCUGCUGAAAGCCAGACACUUGGGGUGCAGGGAGGGGUUGCCAAUGGGAUAGAGGAAGCCAGAGACACAUACUUUCCCUCCAAGAAGCUUAGAGUGGGGGCGGCCUGGGGGAGAUGGAAAUUCACACAACUAAUGCCAGGCUUGGUAAGUACACGGAAAGAAGUGAACACAAAUUGCUUCAGGAACAAAAGCCUAAUUCCUGUGUUUGCAUGGGCCUCUGAUUUCAGGUUUGUGAAUUCAUGAGUUACGAUUUGUUAAUAUACAUCAUGGUGCAUGAAAUAAAGCUCUUGAUCUAAUAACACUAAUACACACCAAAUAGAGUGUGAGCUGGAUGAGUAAUUAGUGAAGCUCUGGGGUGUGACAUUAGCCCUGCUUGUGGAGGGAGGCGUAGCACUGCCUAUGUGUAUAUACAGCCAUGCCUCCAGUAUGGCAGCCACCAGGCACACGUGGCUACUGAGCACUUGAAAUGUGGCUGGUCCAAACUGAAAUGUGCUGUUAAAUACACAUGAGAUAUCAAAGACCAGAUAUCAAAGAAUCAGUACAAGAGAUUAAAACAGCUCAUGAAUACAUUUUGUACUGAUUACAUGUUUAAACAAUAAUAUCUUAUACAGUCAUGCACCAAUCAACAACGGGGAUACAUUCUGAGAAAUGUGUCGUUAGGCGAUUUCAUCAUUGUACGAGCAUCACAGAGUGAGUUACACAUGCCUAGAUGGUGUCGCCUACUACACACCUACGACACACCUAGAUGGUCUAGCCUACUACACACCUAGAUGGUCUAGCCUACUACACACUUAGAUGGUCUAGCCUACUACACACCUAGAUAGUCUAGCCUACUACACUCUUAAUGGUGUUGCCUACUACACACCUAGAUGGUCUAGCCUACUACACACCUAGAUGGUCUAGCCUACUAUACACUUAGAUAGUGUUGCCUACUACACACCUAAAUGGUCUGGCCUACUACACACUUAGAUGGUCUAGCCUACUACACACCUAGAUGGUCUAGCCUACUACACACUUAGAUAGUCUAGCCUACUACACACCUAGAUGGUCUAGCCUACUACACACCUAGAUGGUCUAGCCUACUACACACUUAGAUGGUCUAGCCUACUACACACCUAGAUGGUCUAGCCUACUAAACUCUUAAUGGCGUUGCCUACUACACACCUAGAUGGUCUAGCCUACUACACACUUAGAUGGUCUAGCCUACUACACACCUAGAUGGUCUAGCCUACUAAACUCUUAAUGGCGUUGCCUACUACACACCUAGAUGGUCUAGCCUACUACACACCUAGAUGGUCUAGCCUACUACACACUUAGAUGGUCUAGCCUACUACACAUCUAGAUAGCCUAACCUACUACACACCUAGAUGGUCUAGGCUACUACACCCUUAGAUGGUCUAGCCUACUACACACCUAGAUAGCCUAGCCUACUACACACCUAGAUGGUCUAGCCUGCUACACCCUUAGAUGGUCUAGCCUACUACACACCUAGAUAGUCUAGCCUACUACACACCUAGAUGGUCUAGCCUACUACACACUUCGAUGGUGUUGCCUACUACACACCUAGAUGGUCUAGCCUACUAUACACUUAGAUGCUGUUGCCUACUACACACCUAAAUGCUCUGGCCUACUACACACGUAGAUGGCGUUGCCUACCACACACCUAGGCUAUACGGCAUAGCCUGUUGCUCCUAGGCUACAAACCUGUACAGUACAAUACUGUACUGAAUACAGUAGGCAGUUGUAACACAGUGGUAAGUAUUUGUGAAUCUAAACAUAUUUAAACGUAGAAAAGGUACAAUAAAAUAUGGUAUUAUCAUCUUAUGGGACCAUCCUCAUAUAUGCAGUCCACCAUUGACUGAAAUGUUAUUAUGUGGCAUGUGACUAUGUAUAUUGGGUUAAAUAAAAUAUGUUAUAGAAUUAAAAUUAAUUUCAUCUUACUUCUUUUUACUUUUUUUGUUUUAUUGUAGCUACUGGAAAAUUUAAAACCCCAAAUGUGAUUCACAUUUAUGGUCCACCUUAUAUUCCUAUUGGCCAAUGCAGAUCUAGAGCAUUCAUAUUCGUUUCGUCAUUUAAUUCUCACCACCAUGCUACAAAGUAGGCAUUCACCCCCAUUUUACAGUCAAGCUAAUUGAGGCUCAGAGAAGUAGUAAAUUACUCCAAGUCACAUGACAUUAGGCUUCAGCAACUCACUUGAGCUGAUGACUAUCUUGGGCCAGUGGCUCAAGGCCUUGCAGCAAGAUGAAGGCCAAGACAACCACGUCUACUGGCAGUGUGGCCUGGGGCCAGUUAUUUGCUCCAUUACUUGUGGGUAAGAACAGAAGGAGAGUAGGUACUCCGUGUGUUCAACAAGUGAGGACGG
rnacentral:lncRNA from 1 species